UCUCAUCAAAAUUUCGGAUUUCGCUGUCUACAAAGGUUUCUUCGCGAACCCUGAUUCACCAACAAAAUUAACUUUUACAAAUAUUCCACUGCAAUUUAUAUCUCAACAUCAAGGUUUUCAUGUCAUUACAAUUGUAAUAUAUAUGUAAUUGAGGAUGCAUUAUCUACAACCAGUUUAUGCAAUUCAAUAUCAAGAAUUGUGACACAACCACAAUUUUAAAACUUUGUAUAGUAGUAUUAUGUGUUGUAUAAUAUCAAUAUUAUCUCUAUAGGUAAAUCAUGUAUUCAUGCUGUUAGACAUCGAUGAAUAUUGAAUUGAGAUUGAACUAUUUACAUAACAUGUGGAUUUUGACCUUUUUUUUUUUUUAGAUUUUAAAUACUGAACUUAGAAUCUGGACUAUUUGAUUUUGAUUCAAUUGUCGCGUGAAUGCAGAGUCUCUCAACUUUAUGAAAUUCAUAUCCUUAGUUGCCUGCCUUAGAAGUUUUGUACUUAAGGAAACUAUAGUAUAUAUUGAUGUGGCCUAAAUGAAUUAAAUUAAAAAACCUUAGUUGAUUUUCAAAUUAUAUGAUAAAUACAGAACAAGUGCAAGAUCCAUAAACUGUUUUGGAUUUGCUUAUGUAUGUUAAUACAUAGUAGGAACAUAGAAGUUUACUUUUUGGAACCAAAACAAGUAGUUAAGGUAAUAUAGAAAAGUACUGUGAUAAUUAGCUAGAGUAGAGAUUUCUAUAAGGGGCUAGCUAGUUAAUGCAGCUACACUUGCAUUUGGACAUGCAUCUCUUGCAAUCAGAGAGUUUUGGGUAGCAAGUGUUGCAGUCACAUUUGUUGAUGCAGAUGGCCCUUGAACCUCCAUCCCAUAAGCAACGAGCCAUGCAGUGAAGGAUUGACAUGCAAGAUGGACAACUUUUUCUCAUCUGGAAUACAAUGCAGUCUUUGCAUCCUCUGCCAUAUGUGGGUGGACAACCCAUAGUAGGUGAAGCCAACAGUAACAUAAUCAAGGACAGUGCUUGGAUUUGAAUUGUCAUUCUCUGCUUCUUUGCCUCCAUGAUGUUUUUCUCUUGUACAAGUACUGCUAUUUUGUCUUCAAAAAAUGUGGAGAAGAAGCUACUAAUGAUAUGGUAAUGGUGUAUGGCUAUAAGCCUAUAACACUUGCACUAAUUUCUUAUUAGAUCUACUCAUGGCGUUGUGGAGGUGAGGAAGCAUUUAAUUUUGGCCUUGGUAUUGAAUGCCACAUUUAAUCUAUGAAGCUCUGGCAUAGCAGAACUCUCUUGGUUUGCACAAUAAUCUAUCUCAUUCCUAUCAAGUCAAACUGAAAUAAUAGGAGUAAAUGAAAUACUAGUGUCAAAGGCGGCAAAACAGAUACUCUUUGUCCUUAAUUAUAAGCAAAAAGUGUAGUACUAACAUGUAUUUGAUUAUUGGUCUGAAAUAUAAGCAAAAGUUAGCUGAUCUGUUCAUAUUUAAUGACAUUGUUUUAAAAAUAUUUUUUCAUUAUUUUCUUAAUAUUAUUAGAGAUGUAAAAUUUGUUAUAAAUUAGUUAUUUUAGUUAAGUGUUAUGUUACGAGUUAGUUAUUUAUUUAUAAAUUAGUUAUUAUAAUUUGGUAUAUAAAUUUUGUUAUAUCUACUAUUGUAAUCAUCUUUUUCAUUUGAUUAAAUACAAAAAUUAUCUUUUUUUUUAUGC
rnacentral:lncRNA from 1 species